GGAUCCCUUCGGGGUGACUUUGUCGCUGUCGAGUGGCGGACGGGUGAGUAAUGCAUAGGAAUUUGCCUUGGAGUGGGGGAUAGCCCGGAGAAAUCCGGAUUAAUACCGCAUGCGCUCUACGGAGCAAAGCGGGCCUCUGAUUUAAGCUCGCGCUUUGAGAUAAGCCUAUGUCGGAUUAGCUUGUUGGUAGGGUAAUGGCCUACCAAGGCGACGAUCCGUAGCUGGUUUGAGAGGAUGAUCAGCCACACUGGGACUGAGACACGGCCCAGACUCCUACGGGAGGCAGCAGUGGGGAAUAUUGGACAAUGGGCGCAAGCCUGAUCCAGCAAUGCCGCGUGUGUGAAGAAGGCCUGCGGGUUGUAAAGCACUUUUAUCGGGAAAGAAAAACCUGGGGUUAAUACCCCCGGGCCUUGACGGUACCCGAGGAAUAAGCACCGGCUAACUCAGUGCCAGCAGCCGCGGUAAUACUGAGGGUGCAAGCGUUAAUCGGAAUUACUGGGCGUAAAGCGAGUGUAGGCGGCUUCGUAAGUCGGAUGUGAAAGCCCCGGGCUUAACCUGGGAAUUGCAUUCGAUACUGCGCGGCUAGAGUUUGAUAGAGGGAAGUGGAAUUCCAGGUGUAGCGGUGAAAUGCGUAGAUAUCUGGGAGGAACACCAGUGGCGAAGGCGGCUUCCUGGGAUCAAAACUGACGCUGANGCUCGAAAGCGUGGGG
rnacentral:rRNA from 1 species